AUUGAACGCUGGCGGCAGGCCUAACACAUGCAAGUCGAACGAGCGGCGGACGGGUGAGUAAUGUAUGGGAAACUGCCCGAUAGAGGGGGAUAACUACUGGAAACGGUGGCUAAUACCGCAUACCAUCGGAUGUACCCAGAUGGGAUUAGCUGGUUGGUGGGGUAACGGCUCACCAAGGCGACGAUCCCUAGCUGGUCUGAGAGGAUGACCAGCCACACUGGGACUGAGACACGGUCCAGACUCCUACGGGAGGCAGCAGUGGGGAAUAUUGCACAAUGGGCGCAAGCCUGAUGCAGCCAUGCCGCGUGUAUGAAGAAGGCCUUCGGGUUGUAAAGUACUUUCAGCGGGGAGGCGUUACCCGCAGAAGAAGCACCGGCUAACUCCGUGCCAGCAGCCGCGGUAAUAC
rnacentral:rRNA from 1 species